rnacentral:rRNA from 1 species
GAUGAACGCUGGCGGCGUGCUUAACACAUGCAAGUCGAACGGAAAGGCCCAAGCUUGCUUGGGUACUCGAGUGGCGAACGGGUGAGUAACACGUGGGUGAUCUGCCCUGCACUUCGGGAUAAGCCUGGGAAACUGGGUCUAAUACCGGAUAGGACCACAUUUUGGAUGGUGUGGUGGAAAGUUUUUCGGUGUGGGAUGAGCUCGCGGCCUAUCAGCUUGUUGGUGGGGUAAUGGCCUACCAAGGCGUCGACGGGUAGCCGGCCUGAGAGGGUGUACGGCCAAAAUGGGAAUGAGAUAAGGCCCAGACUCCUAAGGGAGGCAGGAGGGGGGAAUAUUGCACAAUGGGCGCAAGCCUGAUGCAGCGACGCCGCGUGGGGGAUGACGGCCUUCGGGUUGUAAACUCCUUUCGCUAGGGACGAAGCGCAAGUGACGGUACCUGGAGAAGAAGCACCGGCUAACUACGUG